GAAGCACCGAUAACUAUCCAAGAGAAGGUGAUAACGGUCGGUGUCCAUUAUUUGAGAACAUUGCAUCAUUAUUUAUUGGAGGAUCCUUUUAUUAUCAAGAUGGACAACGCGACGACAAGUUAUUUUCAGUCGCCAAAGAAACUUUCCCCAAAGCAUGUACGGUGGUAGGAUUUCUUAGCGGAGUUUGAUUAUUCCUUGGAGUACAAACCGGGGAAUGCUAAUGUUGUAGCAGACGCAUUAAGUCACAAGGCUAUUUUAGCCACUUUUGUGAGUACCACAAUCAGCAACGUGGUGGAUACCAUCAAGGAAGGAAUGCAGUAUGAUCCUGUAUCAAAGCAACUUCUCAUUUUAGACAACCAAGGCAAGAGCCAAAAAUUUUGAGAAGAAGAGGGACUACUUUAUACCACCGACAAAUGAGUAUAUGUGCCUAGAUGAAAGGGUCUUAGGUGUUUGUUGAUCAAAGAAGGUCACGAAACUGCUUGGACUGGUCAUUCGGGGCAGAAACACACCAUGGCAUUGUUGGAAGCUUCUUAUUAUUGGCCUCGUAUGAGAGACGACAUUGAAGUAUAUGUCCAUACUUGUUUUGUUUGCCAAUAAGACAGUGGAAUAUAAGGCACCCGGAGAAUUACUUGAGCCACUGUCCGUUGCUGAGAAACCAUGGAACAACGUCACAGUGAACUUUAUUACAUGUUUGCCUAACUCGAAAAGUUGUGGCAUGAUAGAUGUUUUAUCUACUUCUGGAUUUUAUUUAAAAGAAAAUGGUUUCGACCUUUUUAAAACUAUUUCAAAAAAUCAAGACUAAUUCAAAAUAAUUUUAACAAAAUUACAGUGUCGCCACUUGAUUUUUAUAGAAAAUAUCAAGAAAACUUGAAGAAGUUUCAAAGAUUUAAAAACAUAAAUAAAUUUUUGAAAUAAGAGAAAUUGAGUAAGGGUUCAGUUAGUGCCCUAUAAAGGUUUUGAGGGCACUUAGGAGCGUCCGAUUGAAAAACGUUUACCAAAUAAUUUUUUAUUAACUUAAAAUGGCUAAUUUUGUAAACACUCGAUUUUGUGGAAGAUAUCAAAAAUAUUAACCAAAAAUGACACUUAUUCAUCUAAAUGAAAAUAUUCUAUUUGAAUUAAGGAAAGAUCCGGUUAAACUAAAUUGUAGACUUUCAAAUUUUAGAGGAAACUAAAUUUAUACUUUUAUGGGACGAGUGGAUUAUGUAAUUAUUUUUCUUCUUAUUGUUGUUAUUAUUUUUUUUUUUAUGAAAGUCAAUUUUGGUAUAAUACCUUCGGAAAAUUUUGUUAAGAGUGUAUCAAACUACAAGUAUUUAAUUAUUUACGAAAGUUAGAAUUUUCAAGAAAAAUUAAUUUCUUAGGUUUGAAGAAAAUUGCCUUUAUCCAAAUAGACUAUUAGUCGUAUGAAUAAAAUGAAUGUCAUCUUGUUAUGAAACACUUAAUUUAGGAGAUUUGUUUGUUAUGGAGAAUAACCGAAGGAACCAACUAAAUUCAUUUUAGACGACACAAACCAAGUGAGAAGAAAUACGAAUUGAGUAAGAAAAUCUCGAGAAAAUAGAAUGGCAACGUUUUAGGGAUUUAUCUAGAUUAAUUAUUUAAUACAAACAGUCAAGAUAAAUUACAAAAAUAAAGAAGGGUUGAGAAAGUGUACUUUCAGGCCCAUUUUUGGAUUCUGUUGGGCUGCAAAUUUAUGGACCUCGAGUCCAUUUUAACUCAUGGUAUAUCAGUUGUAUAUCACAGUUUUGUUUUGCUGCAUUUUCUAUAUAUUUGUUGUAUAUCAGUGUGAGCCGGGGGUCUAUCGGAAACAGCCUUUCUACUUCUUUAGAGGUAGAGGUGUGGACUGCGUACAUCUUACCCCCAGACCCCACUAGGUGGGAAUAUACUGGGUUUGUUGUUGUUGUUGUUGUAUAUCAGUGUAUAAGGACCCGUAUACUUGCUUCUGAUGUUGUUAUGCACCAUAUAUUGGCAUAUACCAACCAUCUUUAAUCUACAAAUCCCAUAUAUUUUCUGUAUAUUAAUGUAAGUCAGCUUUGAAUCAGUCAAUUUUCUUCAUGUAUUAGUUCAUUAUGGACUUUGAUGGGACUUGACUCGAUGGAUAUUGAAUGCGAAAAGAUGGGAGUCUGAUGGACUCGCUGAGAGAGUUCAUGCAUAAAAGGGGUGGGAAAGGAUUACGAGGAAAUCUUUAUCAACCUAACCACAUAUAUAGUAAAUAACCACCUUUCAAAUAAAAUACCAUAACUCAAUUUAAACAAGAUAAUCACACUUAUUAUGAAGUUUAGGAUUGAAAGAAAAUUCUGCAUCAUCUAUCAAAUAGGGCACCAAGGAAAUACCAUAAAGAACUAGUAUAGCAAUGUCCCGAUGUCAACAUGAUUAAUGUUGUAUAAGUAGUCCACCACAAAAAAACUCUAAUUGUUUAAUGAGCAUAACAACCGUUGAAACUACUCCAAUAUUGAAAGUAGAACUCUUCAAAAUUUUCUUUUUUUUUAAGAAAAAAACUUAAAGACUGCUAUGCACGGAGAUUGAUAAAGAAGUAUAUAAUCUUCUAAUUGAUAAGAAAAUUCAGUUCUAGAACAUGAGACAAACCAACAAUUCAUUUUAAUCUUUUGGUAGGUAAAGCUAAUAGAACGAAAUAAAGCAAAACCAAUAAAUUGCUUAAUUCAUGUUCAACCAAUUUUUAUAUAAAUAAAUAAAUUAGAUUUAAUCUAUGGCAAAAACUAAAUCAAAACAUCAUGGAACUAACUAAAUUUCACACUGCCUAACACCCAAAUAAGAACAAGAAAAAUAAGGGAGAGGAUUUACUUUUCUCGGGAAGGAACUGAAACGAACGAGCUUUAAAUGAACAAAAUUCCAUCGAAAUUUCAAUCCCGGAUCAUCGGUGCUUUACCUUUUUUUUUCGGAAUUAAAUUUUCAAGUGCGUUUCUUCUCGAAUUCUUUGAUUACGUAGGAUUAGAGGAAUGCUCCUCCCAAAUCCCUAACUUUUCCCCAAAGAAUUCUCUCUUUUCAACCUCUAUCCCUCAAUGUCCAUUUAUGAGAGAAAUUUGGGAGGAAAAAAUAGGGUUUCGAAUUUGAAAGAAUGAAUUUUAAAUCUAAAUUCAGGAAUUCACGGUGAGACAAAGACUAUUAAUGAUCUUUGUACUAAAAAAAUAGUGGAGAGAUAUGGAGAAAUAGACGUUGCCUCUAUUAUUAAAAAAUGAGAGUUAAUAGUUUGCCCAAAUGGUGAGCAUAGUCUGAAGAUAAUGAAAGAAUCUGAUUUUUUUACCAUAGAUGGUUGUACAAAGAGGGUAAAUCGGUAAGUGAAAGGGGUGGCUAGGGUUUUGGGGGUUGAUGUUGUUUUUAUCAUUGUUUGAUGGUUGUUGACUAUUGUUGUGUCGUAUAGAG
rnacentral:lncRNA from 1 species